rnacentral:rRNA from 1 species
GAUUUCUGGCUUGAAGCAUUUGGCCGGCCACGGUUUCGUGUGUUAGUGCUUUGUGCUCUGGCCAUCCUUCCAAUCGCUAUUGGCUUAUCUUCAUUGAUUGGUCAGUGGUAUUGGAUCUUUUACUUUGAAAAAAUUAGAGUGUUUCAAGCAGGCGUUUGCUAUGAAUACAUUAGCAUGGAAUAAUAAUUUAGGACUUCGGUUCUAUUUUGUUGGUUUCUAGAAUGGAAGUAAUGAUUGAUAGGGAUAGUUGGGGGUGCUAGUAUUCAGUGGCCAGAGGUGAAAUUCUCGGAUUCACUGAAGACUAACUUAUGCGAAAGCAUU